rnacentral:rRNA from 1 species
UACGUAGGGCGCAAGCGUUUGUCCGGAAUUAUUGGGCGUAAAGAGCUCGUAGGCGGCUUGUCACAUCGAUUGUGAAAGCCCGAGGCUUAACCUCGGGUCUGCAGUCGAUACGGGCUAGCUAGAGUGUGGUAGGGGAUACUGGAAUUCCUGGUGUAGCGGUGAAAUGCGUAGAUAUCAGGAGGAAUACCUAUGGCGAAAGCAGGUAUCUGGGCCAUCACUGACGCUGAGCUGCGAAAGCUAGGGGAGCAAACAGG